GUUCUUAUGGUUGAAUUACAACGGUGGUUUUUCAGAUCAUUGGUCCUGGUUAAACUCCUGGUAAGAAUU
rnacentral:tRNA from 1 species